AGCACUGGUGAGGCGCUAACUGCAUUCAGAAGACACCACUGCUGUUACAAAGGUGCCGCGUUUCUGGAGCUGCUGGUUGCCUACCUUGGUGCAGUUUCUGAGCGUGCUGCUAGCGGUUUCCAGUGGCUGCCUGCCAACGCCGAUCAGGUGCGAUUAUCCAGAGUCCUGCAGCAGAGCAGGUGGGAUGGCACCUCUCCAAUUUCUGAGCCAACAAAGGGCAAAGACUGACAUCAGGAAGAACUCUGGGACUUUUCUGAUCCUCGGCAAAGGUUCAGGCAAGGCUGCUUUGUUAACAAACUGUUUGAUCCCUAAGGUCCAUGUAGCACGCUUUGGUGAAUGCUCUUCUCUUGCAGCUCUCCCAUGUAGUUGCUACCAUGCCCACUGGGAUCCCAGGCAGCCAGCCUGGCACUAGAACACAAGCAGGAUUAUGCUUCUCUUGUAGCUUGAGGAAGGGCAACACGCACACCCUCUGAGUCUUAAGCAAACCAUGAGUAUUUCCAUAGUCUCCAGUAUCUAUAGCAAUAGUGUACUCUCUAUCACCUCUUGUUCUUUUGCACUAGCAUCUCUAACGUCUCUCUAAGAAAUGUUGCUGGUGAAAAAGCACAAGCUUGGUUUGUGAGGUAGCCAAAGAUUGUUUUGAUAUCACAACUUGCCACUUUGUGCAAUUUCAACUUAUUUUAUUAUGCUAUGGAAACCAUUACUGAUUCUCCUCCUGCCCUCCUAUGCUUUGAAGAUCAUAGCAUCAUAGAAUCAUUUGAGCUGGGAAGAGGCCUUUAAAGGUCAUCUAGUCCAACUCUCCUGCAAUGAACAGGGAAAUCUCCAGCUAGAUCAGGUGCUCAGAGCCCAGUCCAGCCCCACCUUGAAGACACCCUUUGACUCUGAAUCUGCCUUUGGUCUUUGACUGGAACUCCUGUUCACCAGGAGCAACAUGCUGAGGUCAUUAGGCUGUCCUGAGUCAUGUGGACUGACAGCAGAUGUCCCAGUCCCAUGGGGGAGGGCUGGUCUGAGGCAAAAAUUCCUGCUGAGAUAAGUCUUUCUGCUCUAAAUAAAUAAGCCUAUGAUGAGCCAGUAUCUUCU
ensembl:lncRNA